UCCCGAGUAGUGAAGUGGCAUCACGACAGGUUCUGACCCUGUUAUCCCAGGUUCGACCCCUGGCUCGGGAU
rnacentral:tRNA from 1 species